rnacentral:rRNA from 1 species
UACGUAGGGUGCGAGCGUUAAUCGGAAUUAUUGGGCGUAAAGCGAGUGCAGACGGUUGUUUAAGCCAGAUGUGAAAUCCCCGAGCUUAACUUGGGACGUGCAUUUGGAACUGGAUAACUAGAGUGUGUCAGAGGGAGGUAGAAUUCCACAUGUAGCGGUGGAAUGCGUAGAGAUGUGGAGGAAUACCGAUGGCGAAGGCAGCCUCCUGGGAUAACACUGACGUUGAGGCUCGAAAGCGUGGGGAGCAAAC